rnacentral:rRNA from 1 species
UCGACCUCAGAUCAGGCAGGAGUACCCGCUGAACUUAAGCAUAUCAAUAAGCGGAGGAAAAGAAACCAACAGGGAUUGCCCCAGUAGCGGCGAGUGAAGCGGCAAAAGCUCAGAUUUGGAAUCGCUUCGGCGAGUUGUGAAUUGCAGGUUGGCGCCUCUGCGGCGGCGGCGGUCCAAGUCCCUUGGAACAGGGCGCCAUUGAGGGUGAGAGCCCCGUGGGACCGUUUGCCUACGCUCUGAGGCCCUUCUGACGAGUC